rnacentral:rRNA from 1 species
UACGAAGGGGGCUAGCGUUGCUCGGAAUCACUGGGCGUAAAGGGUGCGUAGGCGGGUCUUUAAGUCAGGGGUGAAAUCCUGGAGCUCAACUCCAGAACUGCCUUUGAUACUGAGGAUCUUGAGUUCGGGAGAGGUGAGUGGAACUGCGAGUGUAGAGGUGAAAUUCGUAGAUAUUCGCAAGAACACCGGUGGCGAAGGCGGCAUCCUGGACCAAUUCUGACACUGAGGAGCGAAAGCCAGGGGAGCAAACAGG